rnacentral:misc_RNA from 1 species
GGAGGAUAAUGACCAUCGCAACCUUUACCUGGCAAAGGAGGGUCUUAUUUUGGAGGGCACCCCAGCUGCUGAAGGUGUUUCAGUGGGUGAUAUGUCAAAGCGCAAGGGGCUGCAAGAAAAGAAGAUUAUCAAGCUGAAGUCCCCAAAUUUCCAUGUGUCAAGGACACGGCUGAUUAUGUACAAUGUUCCCAAGUCAAUGACUGAAAAACAGCUGAAGACACUUUGCAUUGAUGCAGUUACUUCUCGUGCUACUAAGCAAAAGCCUGUUAUCCGGCAGAUAAAGUUUUUGAAGGACGUGAAAAAAGGACAAGCAGUGGCAAAGAAUCAUUCUCGUGGAGUAGCUUUUCUUGAGUUUUCAGAGCAUGAACAUGCACUUGUGGCUUUGAGAGUUCUUAACAACAAUCCUGAGACUUUUGGUCCUGAGCAUCGACCAAUAGUGGAGUUUGCUCUUGACAAUAUCCAAACAAUGAAGCUUCGUCAGAAAUUUCAGCAGCAAGGUUUUAACAGGAACAAAGAAGAUUUGCAGAAGAAUGACAAUACGAAUGAACGGGAUACCCGCGAUAAACAGUCAAGAAAACGGAAGGCCCCAGGAGAAGAUGAAGCAACAAACAAGCGUGUCAGAGGUGUCACUUCAAGGGAAGGCAAUGUGUCGUCAGUUUCAGGUAGUAAAGAUGGAGAUCAACCAAAAAAUAAAGGUGUUAAAGGAGCCGCCUUCUCUGCAGAAAAAAGAGAUGAGAAGAAGAACAAGAAGGAAGGUAAAAAGCUAGGAGGCGCAAAACAGAAGCUAAACGAUAAUCAAGAAGGAAAAAGGCAUGGUGGCUUUGGUAGUGAAAAAACAGGUAAUGCUACUCCCAAGGUUGGACAAAGCGAAGACGUUGCAGCAAGAGCAACAAAGAGGAAAUUUGAAGAUAAAACUAACCAACAAAAACAAAGCGUCAGUUUACAGAACCGGAAAAAGGAUAAAAAGAAGAAAGAUGCAGUUGGACGAGAUGGAGUAGACAAGCUAGAUAUGCUAAUUGAACAAUAUACAUCCAAAUUUACUCGCGGCAGUUCUAAUCAAACUAAUAGUAACCAGCAGCGCUCUAAGCAGCUUAAGAGAUGGUUCCAAUCCUAAACCAUUCACAGGUUCUUGUGUAGCUUAAUUUUAUUGUGAUAGUAAGAAAAGGUGAGAAUCAUCGUUUUUGGGUUUGUGUACUAUUUUGUUGUAUUUUCUCCAUAAAAUAUCUCAUAACAAUAUUUAGUUUUAAAAUAUGGGAUUAUAUUUUUGGUCAUAGAUUUUC